rnacentral:tRNA from 1 species
AAUUAGAAAGCGAAUAUUUGCAUUUAGUUUCGACCUAAAAAUUUGGCUUUAGCCUCUAAUUU